rnacentral:rRNA from 1 species
UUCCGGUUGAUCCUGCCGGACCUGACUGCUAUCGGAUUGAUACUAAGCCAUGCGAGUCAUUGUAGUAAUACAAGGCAGACGGCUCAGUAACGCGUAGUCAACCUACCCUAUGGACGGGGAUAACCUCGGGAAACUGAGAAUAAUACCCGAUAGAACAUUAUACCUGGAAUGGUUUAUGUUUCAAAUAAUUUAUUGCCGUAGGAUGGGACUGCGGCCUAUCAGUUUGUUGGUGAGGUAAUGGCCCACCAAGACUAUUACAGGUACGGGCUCUGAGAGGAGUAGCCCGGAGAUGGGUACUGAGACACGGACCCAGGCCCUAUGGGGCGCAGCAGGCGAGAAAACUUUGCAAUGUGCGAAAGCACGACAAGGUUAAUCCGAGUGGUUUCUGCUAAAGGAACCUUUUGUCAGUCCUAGAAACACUGGUGAAUAAGGGGUGGGCAAGUUCUGGUGUCAGCCGCCGCGGUAAAACCAGCACCUCAAGUGGUCAGGAUGAUUAUUGGGCCUAAAGCAUCCGUAGCCUGCUUUGUUAGUUUUCGGUUAAAUCCAUACGCUUAACGUAUGGGCUGCCGGGAAUACUGCAAAGCUAGGGAGUGGGAGAGGUAGACGGUACUCGGUAGGAAGGGGUAAAAUCCUUUGAUCUAUUGAUGACCACCUGUGGCGAAGGCGGUCUACCAGAACACGUCCGACGGUGAGGGAUGAAAGCUGGGGGAGCAAACCGGAUUAGAUACCCGGGUAGUCCCAGCUGUAAACUAUGCAAACUCGGUGAUGCAUUGGCUUGAUGCCAAUGCAGUGCCGCAGGGAAGCCGUUAAGUUUGCCGCCUGGGAAGUACGUACGCAAGUAUGAAACUUAAAGGAAUUGGCGGGGGAGCACCACAAGGGUGAAGCCUGCGGUUCAAUUGGAUUCAACGCCGGGA